UAACGCGUGGGAAUCUGCCCUGGAGUGGGGGAUAACCCGGCGAAAGCCGGGCUAAUACCGCAUACGUCCUGAGGGAGAAAGAUUUAUCGCUCUAGGAGGGGCCCGCGUCGGAUUAGCUAGUUGGUGAGGUAACGGCUCACCAAGGCGACGAUCCGUAGAUGGUUUGAGAGGAUGAUCAGCCACACUGGGACUGAGACACGGCCCAGACUCCUACGGGAGGCAGCAGUGGGGAAUAUUGGACAAUGGGGGCAACCCUGAUCCAGCAAUGCCGCGUUGGUGAUGAAGGCCUUAGGGUUGU
rnacentral:rRNA from 1 species